CCCUGCCUUUUGUACACACCGCCCGUCGCUACUACCGAUUGAAUGGUUUAGUGAGAUUUUCGGACCGAGAAAUAUUAAUAUUGGCAACAGUAUAUAUUUCUUGGGAAGUUGAUCAAACUUGAUCAUUU
rnacentral:rRNA from 1 species